UCACGACUCUCGGCAACAGAUAUCUCGGCUCUCGCAUCGAUGAAGAACAUAGUGAAAUGCAAUACCUGGUGUGAAUUGUAGAAUCCCGCGAACCAUCGAGUCUUUGAACGCAAGUUGCGCCCAAGGCCCUCCGGGCGAGGGCACGCCUGCGUAUGCGUCACGC
rnacentral:rRNA from 1 species